GACCAUAGCUCACUGGAAAAGCAUCUGCUUUGCAUGCAGAAAGUCUCAGGUUCAAUUCCUGGCAACUCCA